rnacentral:rRNA from 1 species
GAUUCUGGCUCAGGAUGAACGCUAGCUACAGGCUUAACACAUGCAAGUCGAGGGGCAUCAUUGGGAUAGCUUGCUAUUCAGAUGGCGACCGGCGCACGGGUGAGUAACGCGUAUCCAACCUUCCCCUUAGUAGGGCAUAGCCCGGCGAAAGUCGGAUUAAUACCCUAUGUUGUAUAUUGAGGACAUCUGAUUUAUACCAAAGAUUCAUCGCUAAGGGAUGGGGAUGCGUCCGAUUAGGUAGUCGGCGGGGCAACGGCCCACCGAGCCGUCGAUCGGUAGGGGUUCUGAGAGGAAGGUCCCCCACACUGGUACUGAGACACGGACCAGACUCCUACGGGAGGCAGCAGUGAGGAAUAUUGGUCAAUGGGCGAGAGCCUGAACCAGCCAAGUAGCGUGCAGGAAGACGGCCCUAUGGGUUGUAAACUGCUUUUAUCAGGGGAUAAAGUGAGGGACGUGUCCCUUAUUGCAGGUACCUGAUGAAUAAGGACCGGCUAAUUCCGUGCCAGCCGCCGC